rnacentral:tRNA from 1 species
GGGAAUGUGGCUCAGUGGUAGAGUGUUUGCCUAGCAUGCAAGAAACCCUGGGUUUAAUUCCUCAGUACCA